UCCACACCUCCCUGCAAGCUGAGGGAGCCGGCUCUGGCCUUGGCCAGCCCAGAAAGGGGCUCCCACAGUGCAGCGGUGGGCUGAAGGGCUCCUCAAGUGCCGCCAAAGUGGGAGCCCAGGCAGAGGAGGCGCCGAGAGCGAGCGACGGCUGGGAGGACUGCCAGCACGCUGUCACCUCUCAACAGUGCGGUGCUGAUAAUGACACUUCCUGAUAAUUAGGUA
rnacentral:lncRNA from 1 species